GUCAGGAUGGCCGAGCGGUCAAGGCGCUGCGUUCAGGUCGCAGUCCGGUUCUCCGGGCGUGGGUUCGAAUCCCACUUCUGACA
rnacentral:tRNA from 1 species